rnacentral:rRNA from 1 species
AAAGAUUAAGCCAUGCAUGACUAAGUAUAAGCAAUCUAUACAGUGAAAAUGCGAAUGGCUCAUUAAAUCAGUUAUAGUUUAUUUGAUAGUACCUUACUACUUGGAUAACCGUGGUAAUUCUAGAGCUAAUACAUGCUAAAAACCCCGACCUCUGGAAGGGGUGCAUUUAUUAGAUAAAAAACCAAUGCCUUCGGGCUCCUUGGUGAUUCAUGAUAACUUUACGAAUCGCAUGGCCUUGCGCCGGCGAUGGUUUAUUCAAAUUUCUGCCCUAUCAACUUUCGAUGGUAGGAUAGUGGCCUACCAUGGUUU